rnacentral:rRNA from 1 species
AAUGCUAAGAGAAUGGACUUACAAUAAAUUUCUUUUUUAAUUUUUUUAAUAAUUGAAGUUAAUUUUAUUUGUGCAGAGGCAAUAAUAAGUAUUAGUGACAAGAAGACCCUGAGAAUUUAUUAUUUUGAAAUAAUAAAUAGAUAUCUCAAAAUAUUAAUUGGGGCGAUUAAUAAAAAUUAAUAACUUUAUUUAAAAAAUAAAAUGAUCCAUUAGUAAUGACUAUAUGAAAAAAUACUCUAGGGAUAACAGCG